rnacentral:lncRNA from 1 species
GGGCGCAGAACCAGCCUCCCCAGGAGGCCCCCAGCCCGCGUUUGCGCGUGCGCUCGCGAGCUGUCGUUACGUAGAGGCGGAAGCAGAACGCACGCCGGGCGCCUCAGCUCGCGUCUGGAUCCGUUGGAGCUUUAGAGUCCGAGGACUUCAAGAGGCACAAGAAGCUGGGCUGGGUACCUACUUGAGUCUGAGAGCCCUUCGAGGAGACCCUAGAGAAGACCUCCGCCUUCUAAGCCAGCCCUCUUCCUCAAAACAGAUCGUGGUCUCCCAGCCUCGGUUUCCCCGAAAGGAAUCUGAGAUCCAGAAAGGCAAGCGACACACCCCAGGGGCUGAACUGGAGCUUGGCAGAACAUGGAGGGAGAGGGGUCCUCCCUGGGUGACCCCAUGGAAAGCCCUAGCGGGGGUGAGGAUGGUGCCCAAUCUAUUAUGUCCACCAGGCCCCGAACACCGUCCAGGCUAUAAACAUGGUAGAGCACAGUGUUGGAUUUAGGGGUCGAGAGGUCCACGACUUUCAACACCGUACUUUGCGGGCAAGUUCUUCAGCCCACAUGGCAUCCCCUCUGUGGUCAAGUCGGCUCCCCAACUUCCUGUGUAUAUGAUAUCAGUCCCUCACGUAUCCAGUUUAUCUGAAAAUAUUAAAUGGAAAGUGCCAGGAAUAAUUCGUAAGUUUCAACUAAUUUUGAUUUGGUAUAUUAUUAUAAUUGUUGUAUUUUAUUAGAUGUUGUGAAUCUUACUGUGGCAAAUUCAUCAAGUAAAUGUCAUCUUUUUUUUUUUUUUUUUUUU